rnacentral:rRNA from 1 species
UACGAAGGGGGCUAGCGUUGUUCGGAAUUACUGGGCGUAAAGCGUGCGCAGGCGGCUGCUCAAGUCAGGGGUGAAAGCCCAGAGCUCAACUCUGGAAUUGCCUUUGAGACUGAGUGGCUUGAGUACGGGAGAGGUGAGUGGAAUUCCAGUGUAGAGGUGAAAUUCGUAGAUAUUGGGAAGAACACCGGUGGCGAAGGCGGCUCACUGGCUCGUAACUGACGCUCAGGCGCGACAGCGUGGGGAUCAAACAGG